rnacentral:rRNA from 1 species
GGUGAGGUAAAGGCUUACCAAGGCGACGAUCUGUAGCGGGUCUGAGAGGAUGAUCCGCCACACUGGAACUGAGACACGGUCCAGACUCCUACGGGAGGCAGCAGUGGGGAAUUUUGGACAAUGGGGGCAACCCUGAUCCAGCCAUGCCGCGUGAGUGAAGAAGGCCUUCGGGUUGUAAAGCUCUUUCGGCCGGGAAGAAAUCGCAUGGGCCAAUACCCUGUGUGGAUGACGGUACCGGAAUAAGAAGCACCGGCUAACUACGUGCCAGCAGCCGCGGUAAUACGUAGGGUGCGAGCGUUAAUCGGAAUUACUGGGCGUAAAGCGUGCGCAGGCGGUUUUGUAAGACAGGCGUGAAAUCCCCGGGCUUAACCUGGGAACUGCGUUUGUGACUGCAAGGCUAGAGUACGGCAGAGGGGGGUGGAAUUCCACGUGUAGCAGUGAAAUGCGUAGAGAUGUGGAGGAACACCAAUGGCGAAGGCAGCCCCCUGGGUCGAUACUGACGCUCAUGCACGAAAGCGUGGGUAGCAAACAGGAUUAGAUACCCUGGUAGUCCACGCCCUAAACUAUGUCAACUAGGUGUUGGGUGGGUAAAACCAUUUAGUACCGUAGCUAACGCGUGAAGUUGACCGCCUGGGGAGUACGGCCGCAAGGUUAAAACUCAAAGGAAUUGACGGGGACCCGCACAAGCGGUGGAUGUUGUGGAUUAAUUCGAUGCAACGCGAAAAACCUUACCUACCCUUGACAUGCCAGGAACUUGCCAGAGAUGGCUUGGUGCCCGAAAGGGAGCCUGGACACAGGUGCUGCAUGGCUGUCGUCAGCUCGUGUCGUGAGAUGUUGGGUUAAGUCCCGCAACGAGCGCAACCCUUGUCGUUAAUUGCCAUCAUUUAGUUGGGCACUUUAACGAGACUGCCGGUGACAAACCGGAGGAAGGUGGGGAUGACGUCAAGUCCUCAUGGCCCUUAUGGGUAGGGCUUCACACGUCAUACAAUGGUCGGUACAAAGGGUUGCCAAGCCGCGAGGCGGAGCCAAUCCCAGAAAGCCGAUCGUAGUCCGGAUUGCAGGCUGCAACUCGCCUGCAUGAAGUCGGAAUCGCUAGUAAUCGUGGAUCAGCAUGUCACGGUGAAUACGUUCCCGGGUCUUGUACACACCGCCCGUCACACCAUGGGAGCGGGUUCCGCCAGAAGUAGGUAGCCUAACCGCAAGGGGGGCGCUUACCACGGCGGGGUUCGUGACUGGGGUGAAGUCGUAACAAGGUAGCCGUAGGGGAACCUGCGGCUG